ACCUCAUGAUCUGCCCACCUUGGCCUUUCAAAGUGCUGAGAUUACAGGUGUGAGCCACCUCGCCCAGCCAUCUUCUCCUUUAUUUACAUAAUGAUGAGUGAAAAAAUCCUGAAAGGAACCCAGGAGAAAUAGGUUAAAUAGGUUCAAAGUCUGUCUGUGCUCCUAUUGGCUCCAUGACCUCAGUUUACUCAUCAGCAAAAUGGGAAUUCAAAAUCUCUUCUUGUACAGGACUUUAGUAAAAAUCAAAUGAAUCAUGCAUAUGACCAUAUUUUUUAAACAGGUAGAGCCCUAUAACAAUACAAGUGUUGAUAGUUUUAUCAAAAUGUAAUUAUCCCUAGGUUGGAAAGCCUCUGGAUGCUCAGAGUUGGUUAAUAAAUAAUAAAACGAGAUAAUGCCCCUGCUUUGCUUCUCAAAUAAAUCAACUUAAAAAAUAGAUAUCUAAAAUACCAUUAAAUCAUAAAAUAAAUGCAUGUCCCCAAGUAUCACUGCCAUCUAUUGAAUUCAAUUCUACUGUUCUCUACUUAAACUUGCAGUUCUCUUAGAAUUAGAUCUUACCAGAGCAUCAGAGGACUAUUAGGUCACAGGGUUUACAACAGUAAACUCACUCUCUUCUUUGCCUUCCAAGUAAGGGAGAGAAAGACCUAAAAGUUAAAACACACACACACACACACACACACACACACACAAACAUUUUAUGAAAUGUUAAAUGAUGACCUCCAAGAAGCCUUCAUACCUCUCGAAAAUAUUGCCAACCUUUGCUAUUGACCAGCUGCUUAUUGUGCAUAAACUUAAAAAUAUAUUCAUUAUUGAGAUAUAAUUUUGUUUAAGCUAAAGAAGCAUCAGGGGAUGGGGAAUUGUUUUGUACGUGGGAUUAGUAAAGAGUUGGGGCCUAAAAGUGUAUGUCUAUUUUAAAAAGAAAUUUUCUGAUUGCAGAUAACUUCUCAAUUUGAUUUAGUGUCGAACGAUAGUGAUGGGGUUGAUAAGUGAGCAUUCAUCGGUAAUUCAUCUUGUGCUGGUAGAAAUUUACAGCAAAGCAGUGCUUUCCCAACAGUGACAAGCCCUAUUAAUCUUCUUCAGACACAUUUCAAUAGGUGUUCCCAUCUGUGGCCAACAUCUAAACACUCUGGCAACACUGGCGACUUGAAGACACCUUCAUUUCAAGUUACACUAGUGAAAAUGUGAUACUAGAUUGUACUCUAUUUUUUAACCUAAUUCUCUCUCUUCAUUCAAUUAGCCUUUCUUGCCUGGAUUUUUCUGCUCAUGUGUAACGUCAUUUUCCAGGGAGAGCACUCAAAGAUUUGGUUUCUUAGAGAUGCACAAUCUCCCCCAAGGUUAGCAACCAACAACAUUUUUUACAAAUUAAAAUUGCAUAGAUUCCAGUUCUGACAGUCGUUGGCCUCUGAUCAUGCAUUUCCUUAGAAAGUAGAACCUGUUCAAAUAAAGCCCGCCUGUGCAUCGAGAAGACUGAGGAAAAGGGGAAGGCUCUAGAAUCCAUUUGUGUUCAUAUUCAAAAUGCACUUUAUUAUUCUGAACUAUGAUGUAAAUUUCAGUGUGAGGGAAUGCUGGGAAAAGGAGAGACAAUUUGAAGAGGGUGGUGAAAAAGAAGCCCAUAAUUCAAAAUAUGUUUGCCUAAUAUAUUCAGUCCAUAGGAUGAAAUCUCUCUCCUGUCCUUUUGCAUCAUUGGAGGACCUCCUGUUAGAGCAGGAAAUAAAAUAAUCACUUUAGUAAUAGAUUAUUUCACUUAAAUUGCCUUUAUUCUACCAGCAACAUGCUCUGGCUGUCUGCAAGUUCAGACUAGGUGAAAAAUGGGGAGGGGUUGUUUGAUUUUGGAUUGCACCUAAGUGCUUUUUUUGUGCCAUUUUCAACCUCAUAAUGGGCUUGGUCUUGCAAAAAAAUUGGAUUUGAACAGCAUUUUUCCUGUGCACUUUAGAAAUCUUUCAAAAGAGAAAAUUCUCUGACACAUUCUUAUUUAGGAAAGGUUAGAUACAUCUGCAUAAUGGAUGGACUUUUUUUUAACUUCACUGAACUUUUUUGUCAUAUGUGAUCUGAAUAUAUGUGUGUGUGUGUGUGUAUACACACACACAUAUGUUGGGGAGAGUGUGUACACAUGCACGUGUGCCCCUAUGUGUUACUGGUUUGUAUGUGAAUAUACUUACAUAUAAUAAUAUCAGCAUUCUCAAAAAAUGUCUCCCUCCUUCACACAAACUAUUUUUCACAAUGAUCAUUUGAGUUUGUUGUAGAGCUCAGUAACCUUAUUGUAGGUGGCAAGUUUAAAUGUGCCAUAUUAAUAACUUGUUAUCCAAGACAAAUUAAGUUCUUAUGUGUCAAAAGCACUCGGCACUGGAUUAUCUACAAGACAAGUAUUUAUUGAAUAAAUGUUGAGUCCAAUUUCAUUUUAAUGUGACUGACUGUAUGUUUCAGCCUCUUAGGCAGAGAUAAAAAACACUCAGACCUAUAACUGUGUUGCAACAUUACACCUAACUUGUCUAUUUCUAUUAUUGUGUCUUAACUUAGAAUAUGGAAAGAAGGCUUUUUUUUUUUUUUUUUUUUUUUUUGGUUGUUGUUGUUCUGAAGAGCAAAGAGAAAGAUAGAAAAACGGCUGGCAUUCAGCCUAAAGAGAAAUCAUUGAAACAAAUUAAUCCUAUGCUGUUUAAAUUGACAUGGUAAUCCAUCAUCAGAGAAGGCAAACUCUGAAAGCAAUCUAGAAUCUGCCCUGCUCUUUCACUGGCCCUGGAGGCACAAAGACAGAUAGUAAAGGAAGGAGGGGGGAAAUCAUAAAAGUUAGGAAUGCCUGAGAAAAUAAUAAAAUUGGUGGUAUCAGCUCUCACUGUCCUGCCUCUGCAAACCUCCUUUGGAAAGGAGAGGUUAACUCUCAACAGUUGCUUUCCCAACUUUCCCCCUAAGUGGUAGGUCUCUGGAGCUGAGCUCUAAAAGUCUGCCUCCUUCUCUAGGCUGCCAGGCUGCUCACCUCAUUCUAACCAUUGCCUGCCGCGUUUAAAAAGUUGACCAGACAGGAGCUUGGCAGGACCCACAGAAACGGUUCAGUUUGCGCAGAAACUUUCCCAACGUGGGGAGGAGACAUUUUACAGAACAUACCUUUCUCAUUACUGCCUGGACAUACCAACUUGAACACAAAAGUGAAUAUUAUGCUUUUCAAUUUAACAAUGCAUUUGACUUUAAGGCGAGACAAUUUGAAAAUAUUUUUAACUUCAAAAAUUCACUCUGUUAACAAUAGACAGUAUGUGAAGACAAAAACCCAAAUACCUUUGUACCAAAAGCAAAAGGCAGAAGGAUAUGAAUGUAAACCUUAACCAACAGCUGCCCUAUUUUAAUUUAUCUAGGAUAGUGUUUCUUCUAGUUUAUUUAAAAAAACUUAGUGUGUUACUGAAACUUCAGAAUAAACAUCGCACCUCUUUUCUAUAAUUAGAAUUUUUAUUCACUGAUUUUAAAAAGGGAGUGAAUAAUUCUUGUAUACUGACUAAUGCUUUUUAAAAUACAUACUCAUAAAAGACAAAUUAAAGGUAUUUCCAGGGUAAAUGCGAAAGGAGGGUUAAAGACUCAUAUUAAAUAUUCAUUCAUUCACAGCCAUGCCAGUUGCAAUUUUAAGAGUUGUUAGGAAAGAAGAACAGGUUUAGUUGUUUGUUUUUAAUAGAACCUAGGGGGUUGAAGUAGUAGCUCUUCAAUAACUGAACAUUCAAAUUGCACUUCCUGAAAAAGAUUUGAUACUUCUGAAUUUGUUUUCAAUUUAUAUACAAUGUAGACUUUAGCAAAAUAUUAUCUAAUUUUAAAAGCCAUUAAAUUAACCAAAAUCACAUGUAAGAAAAAUAAAUUAGUAAAUAAACAUCAGUCUUUAUCACUCAGAGGAGGCUAAGAAGAAAAGUACCUUUAAAAUCCCCACUACUUAAAUAUCACAAUACUACCAUCUUUUUAAUUACUUGGUAAUGUGGCAACAAAGUAUAUGCAAAGAAAUUGCAACAUAUCUUUAGAAGUAAAUAAGUUAUUAACAUACAUUCUACAAAGAAAUGGGCUUCCCCAAUUUUGCUAACUUCUCCCUGAUGUGAUGUGACGUGGUCCUGCCAAGAAAUAACCAAUGUGACAUUUUCACUAAAUUCAAUAUUCCCUUCCUUUAAGGUUCUCAGUUUUGCUUUAAACUAUUUGAAGCGACUUCCUCUCAAUCAAUUUACCUCAGGCAAGUACAUAGAAAUCUCCUAGAUAAGGUUGAUUAAUUUAUUAUGAAUUAUAAUAGAUGGAUAGGAAAAAUAUCUUUAUCUACCUUGUAUUCAAACUAAAAAGAAAAGUAUAAAUUUUAUUCAAACAAUACACUUUGUAAACUCUCAAGCUAAUACUUCCUAUGGUCAAGAAGCUGAAUAUGAUGUUAAACUGCCUUCUCUUAAUUUUACACAGAAGUUCUUUAUUUUUAACAUUCACCUUCAACUUUUCCAGAAAUCAGCCUUUUAAGAGGAGAAAUGAGGUUGUAACUAGCUUGUGCAUGUUUCCCUAUUAUGACACUAUGUCUGUCUCUGUCCACCUACUUCUUUAUAUUGAAACUGUCCCCCCCCCAAAAAAAACCUUAUGAAAAACAAUAGAAUGGAAAUCACUCCUUAAACUAUUUUUCUCCAACUACAAUUCACCUUGAGUUUGUGUUUUAAGAAAAUUUAAUUAAAUCCCUUUUGUUGUUCUGCUUGUAUUUUCUUUAAGUACUACUGAUGCAGCUAAUUAACCAUAUUAAUUUAUCUGGGUAUUUGCCUUACUAACACCUUCACAUUUAAAUGACUGGCACUUGAUACCAUUUGAUUAAUGCUUUUUCUUGACAUACCAAAAAUUAACUGCCAUUUAGAAGAUUUCAUUACCAGGCUCUUGAGAAAGAGAAAAAUGUAGAACCAGACAAUAAUUCCUCACUCUGUCCACUGCUAAGUAUGAACUGAUGUCCACAUGGCUUUAGAUGCCUUUGGAACUUUCUCAGCAUGAGUUGCCUUACAAUAUAAUAUUGGUAUUAAAGGCAUGUAUAGCCACAUCACACUUGAUUAAAUGGGCAGAGAGCCCCCUUAUGCCAUCAUCUCUAGCUAUAGCCGAUUCUCCUUUAAUUCUUCAAUCCAUUGAAAAGUAAAAUAGACCGAGUAGCAUAUCCCUGAAUUUUUAAAUAUUUAGGCAAAAGAUGCUUACCUUUUAUUUAAAUGCCCUGCCAAAGCUACCAAACUGCAAAAUUGAUGAUUUUACUUUGAAGUGUCUUUCUGUGAUUUUGCAAACCACAAAGGCUCUACCAUAGCUAAGUUGCUUCAGCUUGUAUUUCAACAAUGGUGAUUCUAAGGAGCUCAUUCAAAACUCUUUUUUGCACUGCCUUCUGCCUUUUUGCCAGUACACAUGAGUGACAGCUUCUAUCUAGUGCUUGAGUAUAUGAACCUUUAAUCCAUCAAGGAACUUCUAACACCAUAAGAAUAUACACACCCACGUGCAUACACCUUCAUGCAUGUAACUAUCAUACAACUACCCAUUAGAAUGCCACCAGGUUUGAAACCAGCAGAAUAUAUUUUUCUAAUCUCAUCCAGAUUCUAUGGCUGUAAUUUGGCUACUGACAAGAUUCUAACAUUAGCUUUUAUUUAAAUGAAAUAAACCAUGUAUUUUUUUUUUUUUUUUUUAGUUUUUUUUAGUUUUUAAAACUCCCUGCACAGCAAUCUACUGUUGUAUACAUGGUUAGAAAUAUUUUUUAAAUGGACUAGGCGGUCAGUUAAAUACAAGAAAAUAUUUCACUAUAUUAUAUUUUCUUAUUCCCUAAAGUCCAUCUCCAUGGAGUGUGCUGCGGGUGAUGGAUGAGACUGUUGUCUCUCUGAAUGGAAACCUGCUUUCAUAGGAAGGGUGGAGGUGGGAGAGGACCAGUGAAGGGCAGAGCUCUAAAAUUCUGGCAACUCCAGUGAAUAUACCCUUUCCUCCUUUCUUCCUUCUUCCUUCACUCCCUCCCUCCCUCGCUUCCUUUUUGCUAUGUCUCCUUUUGGUAGAUUAGUGUAGUUAACCUUCGUUCCGGCCAAGAUCAAGAAGGGUUAAUGGAGACCCGGCUCCUGACACCCUCCAGGUCAGCUUGGCUUGCGAACUUCCAACGCAGGAGUUAGAGGAUUACCGAGGAAGGAAUUCGAGGUACCCGAUAGCCUCACACCUGAACACGGUCGCUUCAAUCCACUGGGAUUCAUUUAAAAAAAUAAAUAAAUUAUCUUCUGGAAAAUG